rnacentral:piRNA from 1 species
UAUUAAGAAGGACCAAGGAACAAGAUAGU